GCUCCUCCUCACAGCUGGGGAAGGAGAGGAAGAAACUUCGUUCUUGGGCUGUGGGGAGAAGUUUUCAUCCCACUUCAUCCCUGAAAUAUGUUCCUCCCCUGGGUCUCUGUUCUUACACUACUUCCGGUUCUGGAAGGGGCUAAUGGAGAGUCCGUGACACAGCCUGAUGACCGAAUGACUGUGUCCCAAGGGGAGCCAGUGCUGCUGAAAUGCACCUAUGACACUUCCUAUGUGCCUACACUCUGGUGGUACGAGCACUACGCGAAUGAAGCCCCUCGCCUCUUGCUGGGAGACUAUGAAGCAUCGGAUGAGGAGGAGAGAAGGAGCCGGCGAGGGUUCUCCGCCACACCCGGCAAACAGGGAAAUACCUUCCACCUGGAGAAAAACUCCAGUGAACUGCGCGACUCCGCCGUCUACUACUGCGCCAUGAGCGACACGGUGAUUGCGCCCAGCAGGGUCGCUGCACAGAAACCCGCUGACGGAAGAUGA